UGCAAGAAGGAGGCGGCGGCGGCGGCGGCCGGAGCUGGAGGGGGAGGAGGGGAGGAACCUGAUCCUCGGUAGCGAAGGGCUGGAGGCAAACACCGAGCUCCCCCUGAGCCGCCUGGGAGCAGGGAGGGUUCUGCUACCCUGAGGGGCCCUCCCCGCGGGGCAGAGGGGUUUCCUCAGCAGUGCCCCGGAGCAGGGACCGCGCCAGCCAGCAGAAACAGCUAGUUGUUGUCUGCAGUGAAGAAUAAUUGGAAGCAUGGUGCCUGUUUCUUUUCCUGUGGAAGUCACAGCAUCUACUGAAUCUGUGCUUGCCUUGAGGAAAAACGGCAUGGCACAGGAAUGUGGACGCUUUCAACCAGAGGAUUCUGUACGACAGUGUCGGCACACAAGGAGUGUUCCACUGACUGACCUCUUUUUGUUUUCAAAUGAAGAGGAGCCAAGAAUAGGACAGCUUGGGAAGCUCAUCCUCGUCUACGGCCAAAUGUUGGUUUCUCAUUUCUAGAAGAUGAAAGAUGUGAUGACUCAGGAAAAACUGGAAUCUUAGUAACUGUGGUGGGCACUGAGCCUUGCUGUCCACAAGAGAAAGCUUGCUGCUCGAGAUGUGAGUCUUCAGAUGUUCCUGCCGCCAUAUCUGACAGCUGCUGCCAAGAUUCCCUGGUGGGAUGGACUCUUAUACCUCGACAACCAGAAGCCCAAGUAAACUCUUCUAUAAAUUGAAUGACUCAUGCUUAAAAAAAAAACAAAA
ensembl:processed_transcript 2210408F21Rik RIKEN cDNA 2210408F21 gene